rnacentral:rRNA from 1 species
UACGUAGGGUGCGAGCGUUAAUCGGAAUUACUGGGCGUAAAGCGUGCGCAGGCGGUUUUGUAAGUCAGAUGUGAAAUCCCCGGGCUUAACCUGGGAACUGCGUUUGAAACUACAAGGCUAGAGUGUGGCAGAGGGGGGGUGGAAUUCCACGUGUAGCAGUGAAAUGCGUAGAGAUGCGGAGGAACACCGAUGGCGAAGGCAGCCCCCCUGGGCUGACACUGACGCUCAGGCACGAAAGCGUGGGGAGCAAACAGG